rnacentral:rRNA from 1 species
UGGGGAAUAUUGGACAAUGGGCGCAAGCCUGAUCCAGCCAUACCGCGUGGGUGAAGAAGGCCUUCGGGUUGUAAAGCCCUUUUGUUGGGAAAGAAAAGCAGCCGGUUAAUACCCGGUUGUUCUGACGGUACCCAAAGAAUAAGCACCGGCUAACUUCGUGCCAGCAGCCGCGGUAAUACGAAGGGUGCAAGCGUUACUCGGAAUUACUGGGCGUAAAGCGUGCGUAGGUGGUUGUUUAAGUCUGUUGUGAAAGCCCUGGGCUCAACCUGGGAAUUGCAGUGGAUACUGGGCGACUAGAGUGUGGUAGAGGAUAGUGGAAUUCCUGGUGUAGCAGUGAAAUGCGUAGAGAUCAGGAGGAACAUCCAUGGCGAAGGCAGCUACCUGGACCAACACUGACACUGAGGCACGAAAGCGUGGGGAGCAAACAGG